rnacentral:rRNA from 1 species
GGGUUGUGAGGUUAAGUGACUAAGCGUACACGGUGGAUGCCUAGGCAGUCAGAGGCGAUGAAGGGCGUGCUAAUCUGCGAAAAGCGUCGGUAAGGUGAUAUGAACCGUUACAACCGGCGAUACCCGAAUGGGGAAACCCAGUGUGUUUCGACACACUAUCAUGUCAUGAAUACAUAGUGGCAUGAGGCGAACCGGGGGAACUGAAACAUCUAAGUACCCCGAGGAAAAGAAAUCAACCGAGAUUCCCCCAGUAGCGGCGAGCGAACGGGGAGGAGCCCAGAACCUGAAUCGGCUUGUGUGUUAGUGGAAGCGUCUGGAAAGUCGCGCAGCAAAGGGUGAUAGCCCCGUACACUAAAAUGCACAGGUCGUGAGUUCGAUGAGUAGGGCGGGACACGUGACAUCCUGUCUGAAUAUGGGGGGACCAUCCUCCAAGGCUAAAUACUCCUGACUGACCGAUAGUGAACCAGUACCGUGAGGGAAAGGCGAAAAGAACCCCGGCGAGGGGAGUGAAAUAGAACCUGAAACCGUGUACGUACAAGCAGUGGGAGCACCUUCGUGGUGUGACUGCGUACCUUUUGUAUAAUGGGUCAGCGACUUAUAUUUUGUAGCAAGGUUAACCGUAUAGGGGAGCCGUAGGGAAACCGAGUCUUAACUGGGCGAAUAGUUGCAAGGUAUAGACCCGAAACCCGGUGAUCUAGCCAUGGGCAGGUUGAAGGUUGGGUAACACUAACUGGAGGACCGAACCGACUAAUGUUGAAAAAUUAGCGGAUGACUUGUGGCUGGGGGUGAAAGGCCAAUCAAACCGGGAGAUAGCUGGUUCUCCCCGAAAGCUAUUUAGGUAGCGCCUCGUGAACUCAUCUUCGGGGGUAGAGCACUGUUUCGGCUAGGGGGCCAUCCCGGCUUACCAAACCGAUGCAAACUCCGAAUACCGAAGAAUGUUAUCACGGGAGACACACGGCGGGUGCUAACGUCCGUCGUGAAGAGGGAAACAACCCAGACCGCCAGCUAAGGUCCCAAAGUCAUGGUUAAGUGGGAAACGAUGUGGGAAGGCACAGACAGCCAGGAUGUUGGCUUAGAAGCAGCCAUCAUUUAAAGAAAGCGUAAUAGCUCACUGGUCGAGUCGGCCUGCGCGGAAGAUGUAACGGGGCUAAACCAUGCACCGAAGCUGCGGCAGCGACGCUUAGGCGUUGUUGGGUAGGGGAGCGUUCUGUAAGCCGUUGAAGGUGGCCUGUGAGGGUUGCUGGAGGUAUCAGAAGUGCGAAUGCUGACAUAAGUAACGAUAAAGCGGGUGAAAAGCCCGCUCGCCGGAAGACCAAGGGUUCCUGUCCAACGUUAAUCGGGGCAGGGUGAGUCGACCCCUAAGGCGAGGCUGAAAAGCGUAGUCGAUGGGAAACAGGUUAAUAUUCCUGUACUUGGUGUUACUGCGAAGGGGGGACGGAGAAGGCUAGGCUAGCCGGGCGACGGUUGUCCCGGUUUAAGCGUGUAGGGGGUGUGACCUGGUAAAUCCGGUUGCAUACUAACCCUGAGGCGUGAUGACGAUGCACUACGGUGCAGAAGUAGUUGAUGCCCUGCUUCCAGGAAAAUCCUCUAAGCUCCAGGUAACAUNNNNNNNNNNNNNNNNNNNNNNNNNNNNNNNNNNNNNNNNNNNNNNNNNNNNNNNNNNNNNNNNNNNNNNNNNNNNNNNNNGAAGCCAGUCGAAGAUACCAGCUGGCUGCAACUGUUUAAUAAAAACACAGCACUGUGCAAACACGAAAGUGGACGUAUACGGUGUGACGCCUGCCCGGUGCUGGAAGGUUAAUUGAUGGGGUCAGCCGCAAGGCGAAGCUCUUGAUCGAAGCCCCAGUAAACGGCGGCCGUAACUAUAACGGUCCUAAGGUAGCGAAAUUCCUUGUCGGGUAAGUUCCGACCUGCACGAAUGGCGUAAUGAUGGCCAGGCUGUCUCCACCCGAGACUCAGUGAAAUUGAACUCGCUGUGAAGAUGCAGUGUACCCGCGGCAAGACGGAAAGACCCCGUGAACCUUUACUAUAGCUUGACACUGAACAUUGAGCCUUGAUGUGUAGGAUAGGUGGGAGGCUUUGAAGCGUGGACGCCAGUCUGCGUGGAGCCAUCCUUGAAAUACCACCCUUUAAUGUUUGAUGUUCUAACUCUGCCCCAUAAUCUGGGGUGAGGACAGUGUCUGGUGGGUAGUUUGACUGGGGCGGUCUCCUCCCAAAGAGUAACGGAGGAGCACGAAGGUUAGCUAAUCACGGUCGGACAUCGUGAGGUUAGUGCAAAGGCAUAAGCUAGCUUGACUGCGAGAGUGACGGCUCGAGCAGGUACGAAAGUAGGUCUUAGUGAUCCGGUGGUUCUGAAUGGAAGGGCCAUCGCUCAACGGAUAAAAGGUACUCCGGGGAUAACAGGCUGAUACCGCCCAAGAGUUCAUAUCGACGGCGGUGUUUGGCACCUCGAUGUCGGCUCAUCACAUCCUGGGGCUGAAGUAGGUCCCAAGGGUAUGGCUGUUCGCCAUUUAAAGUGGUACGCGAGCUGGGUUUAGAACGUCGUGAGACAGUUCGGUCCCUAUCUGCCGUGGGCGUUGGAAGAUUGAGAGGGGUUGCUCCUAGUACGAGAGGACCGGAGUGAACGCACCACUGGUGUUCGGGUUGUCAUGCCAAUGGCAUUGCCCGGUAGCUAAGUGCGGAAAAGAUAAGCGCUGAAAGCAUCUAAGCGCGAAACUUGCCUCAAGAUGAGUCUUCCCUGGGCCUUUAAGGCCCCUGAAGGAACGUUUAAGACUAAGACGUUGAUAGGCUGGGUGUGUAAGUGCAGCGAUGCAUUGAGCUAACCAGUACUAAUGAUCCGUGAGGCUUAACCUUACAACACCGAAGGUGUUUUAG